AGUAAUACAUCGGAACGUGCCCAGUAGUGGGGGAUAACCCGGCGAAAGCCGGACUAAUACCGCAUAUGACCUACGGGUGAAAGCAGGGGAUCGCAAGACCUUGCGCUAUUGGAGCGGCCGAUGUCAGAUUAGCUAGUUGGCGGGGUAAGAGCCCACCAAGGCGACGAUCUGUAGCUGGUCUGAGAGGACGACCAGCCACACUGGGACUGAGACACGGCCCAG
rnacentral:rRNA from 1 species